ACGAUUCCAUGCCGAUACUCGGAGUUUGAAAGGGUCCAAACCAGAAUUGCAGCAGGGUCGGGUGGACCUAAGCUAGCGUCGAAACGCAACCAUAAUUGGGGACUUUUAUGAGAUGAUGACGAUAAUGUUCAGAUGAUUGUGAUGUUUAGAAUUGCUGGUGUUAACUAUGGAGCGGUUGGCUCCCUCUUUGUUUUUUUUUAACUUUUUCAAAGGCCUCUCCUUUCUUUUCUUUUUUUCUCUAUUAGUUGUAAAUUGAUAUGGUUAUGUCAUUUAGUUUGCUGUUUUUGCGGGUGAUUAGUUGAUGAUUGAUAGGAUUGAGCUGAGCAUUUCAUUAAUAAAACCGAAUUUUAAUUUUAAAAUAUUAAAAAAAAAAA
rnacentral:misc_RNA from 1 species